rnacentral:lncRNA from 1 species
AUACCACGCUGCUGCUGAUCUUCUAACGUGUUAAGACUCAAAGUUCCCAUUUGAAUUUUACAUUUUUGAAGCAAUUGUUUUAUUACAUAUUAAAGAAAAAGAUGCCAAAAAAAAAGAUCUAGGACAUCAGAUAUUGAUUACAAGAAUCUGAAAUGAUGUUAAAGGGUCAACUGCCGUUUGGGAGGAAGCAAACACCAGCCAUCAUCAGUCCUACAGCACAUCAUUGGUCGUCUAGCUGCUAACAUGUGAAAUAACAUGUGCACCACUCCAAAAGGAUCAAGGACUGGCGCCGAUUUUCACCUGGUGAGGUUUGGAGUUUUGAGCUAUAGCUGUUUGUGGACUGUUGGCGGCUUAUUGGUGACGACGGGAUGAUUAAGAAUUGAAGCGAUAGGCGCAAUCCAUCAACGUCCAGUGGCUAAUAAUUCAACGGUGCAAACUCAUGCGGAAAACCUCAUCAAUCAAGCGGAAAGCGGAUUCCAAUUAACGAACGUCCUGUUCCCCCAUCACUUUGGCGAAUUCUUCGAGGUCUUUGAAUUCAUCAUGGAACGCCGAUGGCACCAACAGAUCGAAGAAACCAUCAAAGAAGUGGCCGAGAAAAUUAUACGUAAUAAUGGCGAUCGUAGCGAAGAACAAGUGUAGCAUUCCCGUCGAAUUAUGUAAUCCUUACUUAAAUCCCCACCCCAAAUAGUUAUAAGAGUUGAGAUGAAAUAGUAGCCUAAUAAUUUAAAAUUUAGUCACAAGAUAGUACAUUAAUUACGCAAUUCGUCAAGUUUAUACAAAUUCUAUUUCAGUGCCGGAUCAGCGCUAGUGCCGCAGGGCAACAUUCCGCAGUUUAUUACAUCACUUUGUAAUCUCCGCAUUGCUCCGGAACGGAGUUGAUGAUUUACGAUCCUCUUCAUUCCAAGUGAGUUCCUUUUUUUUUAUUUUUUUUUUUAUUUAUUUUUCCUUUGCAAAUAAGUACUACCGCGGUACUUGUUGCCUCACACUCUGCAUUGUGAUCAACGACAUUGUUGGUGUUGUUCCAAGAGUCUAUUUUGGUAUACAAUACAAAGUAUACAAGCAGAACUACUAGACAUUAGCAGCACUCGAGUGUUAAAGCGCAUUCCGUUCACAACUGUGAAGUAACCAGCCCACGUCCAACGAUAAACGAACAUCAAAAACAUUUAUUAUCUUGCGCUUCAACUCUUUUUCACGCAAGUCAUCGUGAUGCGCGUUUUAAAACGACAAAGCGCCACCGAAACUUGAUUGAACUAGUAUUGAAUGUUUGAUUUGGAUUGAUUAAUAUUCAUAUCAGAAUUUCAUUCUCUGCAGCAUCAUUGAUUUAAAUUCAGAUUUAACUUUGAACUACUUUCAAAGUGCAUUUGCUUAUUAUUAAUCACGUGACGGACACGCCGACUCUCAGUUUUCUAUCAGCAUGUGCAAAUGUCAUUAAAAGGUUAACACUCGUAUGUCAAAGAAAAAAGAAACGACUGAAAUCUAAAACAUUUUGAAAAGUACGUGCCCUUUUUAAAUGCCAUAGCAAGUAAUAUAAUAUCUAAGAUAAUAUCGUCACUGUUUUACCGCUUGAACGCGAUCAGAUUCAAUCAACUCGAUGUGCAAUAAUAACGACCUAUAAUAUUUCAUGAAAAAGAAACACGGCUAUUAAUGUAUAUGAUUUAUUUAAUCCCCCACGAUCUUCAAACUAUUAUAUACAAUGGAUAUUCUUAAAAACCAGUUGAAGAAAACAAACCCACUCGAAUAUAAAGAAGGAAGAAGGGUAGAAAAGCCACUACUUAAUUUCCAUGACUAAUCGCAGCGAAAUAAUAAACAGGAG